GACGAACGCUGGCGGCGUGCUUAACACAUGCAAGUCGAACGGAAAGGCCCUGCUUUUGUGGGGUGCUCGAGUGGCGAACGGGUGAGUAACACGUGAGUAACCUGCCCUUGACUUUGGGAUAACUUCAGGAAACUGGGGCUAAUACCGGAUAGGAGCUCCUGCUGCAUGGUGGGGGUUGGAAAGUUUCGGCGGUUGGGGAUGGACUCGCGGCUUAUCAGCUUGUUGGUGGGGUAGUGGCUUACCAAGGCUUUGACGGGUAGCCGGCCUGAGAGGGUGACCGGCCACAUUGGGACUGAGCUACGGCCCAGACUCCUACGGGAGGCAGCAGUGGGGAAUAUUGCACAAUGGGCGGAAGCCUGAUGCAGCAACGCCGCGUGCGGGAUGACGGCCUUCGGGUUGUAAACCGCUUUCGCCUGUGACGAAGCGUGAGUGACGGUAAUGGGUACAGAAGCACCGGCUAACUACGUG
rnacentral:rRNA from 1 species